GUAGUCCACGCCCUAAACGAUGUUCACUAGGUGUCGGGGGGUAACCUCCGGUGCCGCAGCUAACGCAUUAAGUGAACCGCCUGGGGACUACGGCCGCAAGGUUGAAACUCAAAGGAAUUGGCGGGGGACCGCACAAGCGGUGGAGCAUGUGGCUUAAUUCGAUGCAACGCGAAGAACCUUACCAGGGCUUGACAUGGAACUGCAAGCGGUAGAAAUAUCGUCGCCUUCGAGGGUGUUCCACAGGUGGUGCAUGGCUGUCGUCAGCUCGUGUUGUGAAAUGUUGGGUUAAGUCCCGCAACGAGCGCAACCCUCAUUGUCUGUUGCCAGCGAGUCAUGUCGGGAACUCGGACAAAACUGCCUCUGUAAGGAGGA
rnacentral:rRNA from 1 species